rnacentral:rRNA from 1 species
CCCUGCCAUUUGUACACACCGCCCGUCGCUACUACCGAUUGAAUGGUUUAGUGAGAUCUUCGGAUUGGUCCGGAGGUGGCCGCAAGGUUGCCUCUAGGUACUGAGAAGAUGAUCAAACUUGAUCAUUU